GCAUGGUGGUUGGGUAUAAAAGAAGACCCCGAGUUUAGAUGUCACAUUGCCGACUGGUUCCACGCGGAUAACAACACUUGUCUGAUAUUUGUCAAGAGAAAGAAAGAAAGUCAACAAGAUGAAGACUGCAAUCGUAUGCCUGAUGGUUGUCGUAUUCGGAGCAGCUUUCGUUCAAGGCAAGGCGGUGAAGCCUGUCAUCCCUAUUGAAGACGUCAUAAAGUACGACCCUGUAGACGCCUGCCUCUUCCUCUGUUCAGACUGUUAUUCAAAAGACUUUAUGAUGCAGAUGACAUGUGCCAACAACGUCUGUUUGAUGGGAGAGAAGAAUGUCAAGGUCAUGUUGGGAUGCCCCCCAUUGCAGAAGAUCUUCAAAUAAGCGACAUUAACCUCAGAUUUAAAAGUUAAAGAAAAAAACGGGUUUCCACGGGACUGACAUUUCCGACACACUUUCCCAUGUACAUGUAUAUUUCAAUAAUGCACAAUCACCGCACGAACCUGGGAAAAUAUCAGAUGUUGUGGCCAUUUUUCAAUACAAUGGACGGGAAACAUAGUCAGAUGCUGUCACGGUGAAACAGUCGUGUCGCGCAGGACUUGGCUUUUCGAAUGACCUGGACACUCUAAUACAAUUUUUGUUAAGUUCAUUAUCUGCUGUCUAUUGCCUGAACGAUGAGUGUAUCGCUCUUCCAAAUCUUAUUGAAACAUGAAUUCUGUAUCCGAUAUAUUAAAAUUAAUUAUUUGUACCAUAAGUAUUAAAUUCUCUAACAAUUAAGACAUGUCCUCGAACUGUCUCUGUAAGCAACAGAUAAUUUUGGUAAGCCGUAACGGCCACUAUCGAAUCGUCAUUCGAAUGCAGUGUAGAUUUUAUGAAGUCCGUGUUUUGUAGGCUGUCGUGGCUUAUUCGCGUACUCUGAAAGUUAAUCAAGACAUUCAAAUGAAACACCAAUCGUCACCUCGCCACUAUCAGAUUCUCAGCCUCUAACAAUUGUGUAACAAACAGUCCAGGUAUUUCAAGCAUGUUUCAGUCACGUAACAAGGGGCACGUUUCAAUUAUAUCGUUUGCUUCGCAGACAUUGCAGUCAUGUGACAUGCUAACAAAAUGGCGGCACCAAAUCUUAAUGGUUCUGUCAUACAUGUAGGUUCCGAGUCUGGUCUUUGACUGGAAACAGUAACCAGCCUCGUCCAACAGCGAAAAUCGCCGCAUGCUACUGCAGUGCAAAUAAACAAACAAAUCUUUCACAACAUUUUGUUGUGCAAAAAAAGCUGAAAGGCACCCCUUGUCAAAUAAAGCGGUUAUAUAUCUUUUGUUAUGUAAUUCACAUAUUUAUUGUAUCCUAACUAAUUUGUAAGCACAAGUCAGUAUGCAUUACAGGAAAUCCUUUUA